rnacentral:rRNA from 2 species
UCAAUAAGCGGAGGAAAAGAAACCAACAGGGAUUGCCCUAGUAACGGCGAGUGAAGCGGCAACAGCUCAAAUUUGAAAUCUGGCUUCGGCCCGAGUUGUAAUUUGUAGAGGAAGCUUUAGGCGCGGCACCUUCUGAGUCCCCUGGAACGGGGCGCCAUAGAGGGUGAGAGCCCCGUAUAGUUGGAUGCCUAGCCUGUGUAAAGCUCCUUCGACGAGUCGAGUAGUUUGGGAAUGCUGCUCAAAAUGGGAGGUAAAUUUCUUCUAAAGCUAAAUACCGGCCAGAGACCGAUAGCGCACAAGUAGAGUGAUCGAAAGAUGAAAAGCACUUUGAAAAGAGGGUUAAAUAGCACGUGAAAUUGUUGAAAGGGAAGCGCUUGUGACCAGACUUGCGCCGGGCGGAUCAUCCGGUGUUCUCACCGGUGCACUCCGCCCGGCUCAGGCCAGCAUCGGUUCUCGCGGGGGGAUAAAGGUCCUGGGAACGUAGCUCCUCCGGGAGUGUUAUAGCCCAGGGCGUAAUGCCCUCGCGGGGACCGAGGUUCGCGCAUCUGCAAGGAUGCUGGCGUAAUGGUCAUCAGCGACCCGUCUUGAAACACGGACCAAGGAGUCAAGGUUUUGCGCGAGUGUUUGGGUGUAAAACCCGCACGCGUAAUGAAAGUGAACGUAGGUGAGAGCUUCGGCGCAUCAUCGACCGAUCCUGAUGUAUUCGGAUGGAUUUGAGUAAGAGCGUUAAGCCUUGGACCCGAAAGAUGGUGAACUAUGCUUGGAUAGGGUGAAGCCAGAGGAAACUCUGGUGGAGGCUCGCAGCGGUUCUGACGUGCAAAUCGAUCGUCAAAUCUGAGCAUGGGGGCGAAAGACUAAUCGAACC